GACGUAGGGCGCGAGCGUUGUCCGGAUUUAUUGGGCGUAAAGAGCUCGUAGGCGGCUCGUUGCGUCGGCUGUGAAAACCCGCGGCUCAACCGUGGGCUUGCAGCUGAUACGGGCGGGCUGGAGUUCGGUAGGGGAGACUGGAAUUCCUGGUGUAGCGGUGAAAUGCGCAGAUAUCAGGAGGAACACCGGUGGCGAAGGCGGUUCUCUGGGCAUUACCUGACGCUGAGGAGCGAAAGCAUGGGGAGCGAACAGG
rnacentral:rRNA from 1 species